rnacentral:lncRNA from 1 species
CUGUCUUAGGCUCUGAGUGAUACCUCUAUUUUAUUAUAAUAAAUUUCCCUUUAGUCCCUAAACUAGAUUGAAAGCAUAUUUUUCACUUAUUGCCCACGGGUUAUUGAAGACACAGUGAUAAUGAGAAUCAGAAUGAAUUUCAGAGAAAGAGGGAAACCUGCAUAUUUGUUUGAACAUUAGCCUUGAGAAGUGCAAAGACACCUAGUCAUGUCUGAAUGUUUGUAUUAAUUAUUAAAUAACACUGGUACUUUGGAAUAAAGACUGAUCGUACUUCAGGCCACCAUGAAUAUUGCUGAGUGAUUUUCUGAAACUGGAAUUCUUCUUAACUGUGUACACAUAUUUUCGAGCAUAUCCUGGCAUGGAAUCAGUACCUUCAAAAUGGUUCAGAAUGUACAGAUCUCAACACCGGAUGAAGGAUAACAUUACACCAGUAUUAUGCUGUAGCAUGAAGAUGGGAAGUGAGAAUGUCAUUUUCCAGUACUGUCUGCCAUCAGCCAACCUAGAGUUUGAAGGAGCCCAGAGUAGAUGGAGCCUUGAAUCCCCAGGGAGGAGCAUCUCAGGCUGAGAUGGGAGAAAUAUCAACAAUGGAGGAACCAGAAUGGCUACAGCCCAUUUGGAAUUUGAGCCCUGAGUGUGGUAGAGGAAAAAGCUGAAGGAGCUGCUUUCAUGAGAAAUGCCAUGAUACUUGCAUGAUAUUUGUGAGAGGGUCUAGGCUGCUCCAAGGACAGUGAUAGAGUAUGUGAGAGGAACUUUUCCCAACCUCAGUAAUGGGCACUUUGGCUUGGGCACAGAUAUUUCACAGGGUACAUGAAACAAUGGCAGUGAAUAGCAAUUUUCAUGCUGGACAGGAACCUCCAGAAGGCGAAGUUGAGACAGAUAAUGGCAGAUUUAUUCUUUGCCUUCUAGGGACUCCCAGAAAUACUGGGCAGGGGAUCCUUCCGGGGACUGGAGUCUUUCCUUCAUGAGUCAGUAGUGAUAUUGACCCAGUGAAUUUUAGAUGUCUUCUACUGCUAAUGUACCAGUAUCUGCUGGAGACAUCCACAUUGUCUUUAUGGUAUUUCAAAAUUUCUGUGAUUAUUAUUUUUAAUGAAAGAUGUAUCUUUUUUAUGUAUCAUAUUUUAAUGAAAGGUAUAUCUAAUUACAACUAAACAAAUAAAAAAACUCCACAAA